rnacentral:lncRNA from 1 species
UAAAAAUGUCCAAAAAAUGAGUUGUUGAUGUGAUUUCCACUUGGGGGCCACCAUAGAUCUAUGUGGUGAAAACUAUAAAACUGGUUCAAAAAGGCCAUACCUUUGGAAACUGGCUCUCUUCGUCAAUCAGGGCAAACACGUUGCAGGGCUUGUCGGCCAGCAGGUCGAGAACGUCCUGAUUGUCGCUGAAUUUGAUGUUGUUCCAAACUAUGUCCUCUUUCAGAUACUCCUCCUGCUCCAGCUUGAAGACGUGGCCCACAAAGAACUGCUGCAGCUUCUCGUUGGCGUAGUUGAUGCAAAGCUGCUCAAAGCUGGGAAACAACAAAGGCACAGACUUUAGGACCAGCUGUGUGACUGUGAGAGCAGUUCGGUUUGAAAUCCCCCUGACCUGUUUACUUCAAAGUUUUCAAAGCCAAAGAUAUCAAGCAAGCCGAUGGAGAGAUAAGACGACUUGGGGUUGUUGGCCAGCCGUUUGUAGAUGACACUGUUGACUUUCUCCACAAUCCAUUUGAAGAGUUUAUUGAAGAUUGCCUUGAAAACAGAUGACAUUUACAGAUCACUAUGAGAAAAGAAGAUAUGCAACUUUUCUUUGCUUCACAGAAAUUUUAUGGCCCUUCGACUUUGGACUGGCUGACAGAAAGGAAAUGAAACCUACAGAGGUGAACAAUCAUCUUUCCUUCAAGGAAGUGCCCUCAUCAGGUGGCUCAUCCCACCCUUUCUUACAGCACAAUCCCCCCAACUUUAACCAUGAAAGACCUGACAGUGGCGCUGGAUGAAGAAAGAAGAAAAAAAAAAAAAAGAAGUCGCAGAUCGGUGUGUGGUUACGUUGAAUCCGGCUUUGCGUAAACAACCUUGACGUGUGUUUACCAGGUUCACGGAAUGCUGUAAUAAAUUUAUGCGCCGCCUUUGGACCUUGCCUGUGUAAACUCGUGAAAACGCGACAGAGCAUCCCCUGUUCAGCUGCAAUAAAGAUAGAAAUAGGAGAUUAAAUCACAGCAAAAGCCUCCAUUGUCUACCUGCUGUCAAUCACUUUUCUCAAACUGUGCACCAGUUGUGAAGAUGUUUUCUUUUUGGGCCUGGGGCUGUAACUAGCGCUGCAGUCAUCGUGUAGGGUCUGACUAAUGGCAGCCACUGAUUAGUAGUUUGCGUCAAUAUGUGCAGCUGUGAUAAGGUAUUUUCCCGCAAGGUUGGUCAUAGUGGAGAGCUCAAGCUCGUCAUCGUUGAUGCUGCAUGGGCUUGUGGGUAAAACAGAAACACCCAUACACUGGGGCUAAAUUCCCCCAGUGACAGGUCACUGACCUCACUCAACUCAGGCCUAAUUACAGCUUUCAUAACUGGGCAAGAAGGAUCCUAAUAUUAGGUCCUGAUGACGAUUCAAGUCAGCUUCAGAUGGCUUAGUAAUAAUAUUGAAACUCAUCGACAAUAAAAACUGAGCUUAUCUGUUUUUUUUCUGCUUUAUAAACUAAACACAAAAGGGCAGUGCCACUGUAGCCGGGUAAAUCAUCAGCAGCGCAUACCUCGCC